AACGAACGCUGGCGGCAUGCCUAACACAUGCAAGUCGAACGAGACCUUCGGGUCUAGUGGCGCACGGGUGCGUAACGCGUGGGAAUCUGCCCUUCGGUUCGGAAUAACUCAGGGAAACUUGAGCUAAUACCGGAUGAUGUCUUCGGACCAAAGAUUUAUCGCCGAGGGACGAGCCCGCGUAGGAUUAGGUAGUUGGUGGGGUAAUGGCCCACCAAGCCGACGAUCCUUAGCUGGUCUGGGAGGAUGAUCAGCCACACUGGGACUGGGACACGGCCCAGACUCCUACGGGAGGCAGCAGUGGGGAAUAUUGGACAAUGGGCGAAAGCCUGAUCCAGCAAUGCCGCGUGAGUGAUGAAGGCCUUAGGGUUGUAAAGCUCUUUUACCAGGGAUGAUAAUGACAGUACCUGGAGAAUAAGCUCCGGCUAACUCCGUGCCAGCAGCCGCGGUAA
rnacentral:rRNA from 1 species